AUUGAACGCUGGCGGCAUGCCUUACACAUGCAAGUCGAACGGCAGCACGGGUGCUUGCACCUGGUGGCGAGUGGCGAACGGGUGAGUAAUACAUCGGAACAUGUCCUGUAGUGGGGGAUAGCCCGGCGAAAGCCGGAUUAAUACCGCAUACGAUCUACGGAUGAAAGCGGGGGACCUUCGGGCCUCGCGCUAUAGGGUUGGCCGAUGGCUGAUUAGCUAGUUGGUGGGGUAAAGGCCUACCAAGGCGACGAUCAGUAGCUGGUCUGAGAGGACGACCAGCCACACUGGGACUGAGACACGGCCCAGACUCCUACGGGAGGCAGCAGUGGGGAAUUUUGGACAAUGGGCGAAAGCCUGAUCCAGGAAUGCCGCGUGUGUGAAGAAGGCCUUCGGGUUGUAAAGCACUUUUGUCCGGAAAGAAAUCCUUGGCCCUAAUACGGUCGGGGGAUGACGGUACCGGAAGAAUAAGCACCGGCUAACUACGUG
rnacentral:rRNA from 1 species